rnacentral:rRNA from 1 species
UGAGCCAGGCGAAAGGACGCCGAGUGAGGUGGAUCCGGUGAUGCUCUGUGGCGAGAAAAGCGAUGUAGAUUGACGAGGCGCCCGUACCGCAAACCGACACAGGUAGAUGAGGAGAGAAUCCUAAGGCCAACGGGAGAAGGGUUGUUAAGGAACUAGGCAAAUUGGUCCCGUAACUUCGGAAUAAGGGACGCCGUCGCAAGACGGUCGCAGAGAAUAGGCCCAAGCAACUGUUUACCAAAAACACAGGUCUCUGCUAAAUCGAAAGAUGACGUAUAGGGGCUGACGCCUGCCCGGUGCCGGAAGGUUAAGAGGAGGACUUAGGGGGUGACUCCGAAGGCCCGAAUUGGAGCCCCGGUAAACGGCGGCCGUAACGAUAGCGGUCCUAAGGUAGCGAAAUUCCUUGUCAGGUAAGUUCUGACCCGCACGAAAGGCGUAAUGAUUUGGGCACUGUCUCAACAGCCCGCCCGGCGAAAUUGUAGUACCGGUGAAGAUGCCGGUUACCCGCAACUAGACGGAAAGACCCCAUGGAGCUUUACUGCAGCUUAAUACUGAGAUUCGGUAAAUCAUGUACAGGAUAGGUGGGAGACUAGGAAGCAUGGCCGUCAGGUUGUGUGGAGUCAAGCUUGGGAUACCACCCUUGGUUUGCUGGGUUUCUAACCUGCGGCCGUGAAACCGGUCGGGGGACACUGUUAGGCGGGCAGUUUGACUGGGGCGGUCGCCUCCUAAAGAGUAGCGGAGGCGCUCAAAGGUUGGCUCAGCAUGGAUGGAAACCAUGCAGUGAGUGUAAACGUAUAAGCCAGCCUGACUGCGAGACCGACGGGUCGAGCAGAGACGAAAGUCGGAGUUAGUGAUCCGGUGGUAUGUGAGUGGAAAUGCCAUCGCUCAACGGAUAAAAGCUACCCUGGGGAUAACAGGCUGAUCUCCCCCAAGCGUCCACAGCGACGGGGAGGUUUGGCACCUCGAUGUCGGCUCGUCGCAUCCUGGGGCUGAAUUCGGUCCCAAGGGUUUGGCUGUUCGCCAAUUAAAGCGGCACGCGAGCUGGGUUCAGAACGUCGUGAGACAGUUCGGUCCCUAUCUGUUGCGGGCGUAGGAGAUUUGAAGGGAGCUGUCCUUAGUACGAGAGGACCGGGAUGGACAUACCUCUGGUGCACCAGUUGUCCUGCCAAGGGCACAGCUGGGUAGCUACGUAUGGACGAGAUAAACGCUGAAGGCAUCUAAGCGUGAAACUCCCCCUAAGAUAAGAUCUCCACUGAGGUUCGACGUAGACUAUGUCGUAGAUAGGUCAGGGGUGGAAGUACAGUAAUGUAUGGAGCUGACUGAUACUAAUAAACCGAAAGCUUGACC